AGAGUUUGAUCCUGGCUCAGAAUGAACGCUGGCGGCGUGCCUAACACAUGCAAGUCGAGCGAGAAAGUCUCUUCGGAGAUUAGUACAGCGGCGGACGGGUGAGUAAUGCGCAGGAACCUGCCCUUUGGUGAGGAAUACUCUUGAGAAAUCGAGAAUAAUACCGCAUAAGUCCCUACGGGGAGAAAGGCGGCUUUAAUGCU
rnacentral:rRNA from 1 species